GAGUGAGUGGGGCAUAGUGGUUUGAGUGCUGGACUAUGAUUCUGGAGAUCAGGGUUCAGUUCCCAGUUCAGCCA